rnacentral:rRNA from 1 species
AUGCAGUCGAGGGGUAACAGGGAAGCUUGCUUCCGCUGACGACCGGCGCACGGGUGCGUAACGCGUAUGCAACCUACCUCUUACAGGGGAAUAGCCCGAAGAAAUUCGGAUUAAUACCCCAUAGUAUUACAGAUUCGCAUGAUGAAGUAAUUAAAGAUUUAUCGGUAAGAGAUGGGCAUGCGUCUGAUUAGAUUGUUGGUGAGGUAACGGCUCACCAAGUCGACGAUCAGUAGGGGUUCUGAGAGGAAGAUCCCCCACACUGGCACUGAGAUACGGGCCAGACUCCUACGGGAGGCAGCAGUAGGGAAUAUUGGUCAAUGGAGGCAACUCUGAACCAGCCAUGCCGCGUGUAGGAAGAAUGCCUUCUGGGUUGUAAACUACUUUUAUAUAGGAAGAAAACGCCAUGCGUGGUAAUAUGACGGUACUAUAUGAAUAAGCACCGGCUAACUCCGUGCCAGCAGCCGCGGUAAUACGGAGGGUGCAAGCGUUGUCCGGAUUUAUUGGGUUUAAAGGGUGCGUAGGCGGUUUAUUAAGUCGGAGUUGAAAUCCCACAGCUUAACUGUGGAACUGGCUCCGAUACUGGUUAACUUGAGUAUGGUUGAGGUAGGCGGAAUUUAAGAUGUAGCGGUGAAAUGCAUAGAUAUCUUAAAGAACACCAAUUGCGUAGGCAGCUUACUGGACCAUAACUGACGCUGAGGCACGAAAGCGUGGGUAGCGAACAGGAUUA